CCCAAUCACAAUCUCCAUCCGCCGCCGCCAUGCCUUACCUCUCCUCGGCCCUAUCCUCCGCCUCCACCUCCUCGCCUCCAAGCGAUGACGACGGCCCGAGAUCCAUGGUGACGGCGGCUGCAGUGGCCCGAUGGAAGCGGCGGCCAUCCCUAGCCGUUGCCGCGUGCUUCUGCUACUCACGUUGGCCAUGGAUCUGCAGCAGGGGCCUCUCUCCUCCGUUUCCCAGAGCCCGCAGCUGAUUCGCCAUCCGGAGAUUCGGAGCAGCAAGCGCCGGACGAGGAGAGGACGAGGACCGUAACCUGCUGGAGGCCCGAGCGCGACCUCGUCAACGGCGACGACGCCCCGCACAAGAUCAGUAGGAGCUCUCUGCCUCUCCAAUUCCAUGGACGGCGACGACCGGGACCCCACGCUCAAACCCGACGAGCUUGAACGGCGAGGUCAUCCGAGCCGACCAUCAUGAUUCCCCACAGAACAAUAAGAAAAUGUGUUCACUUCGUUUCCUGAUACUCGCAAGCUACAGCCAAGUUACAGCCACCGACAGACUAGCACUGCUAGAUAUUUCCUUUUUCUUCUCUUACCGUGCGAGCAUUAGCAGUGUAGAAUUUGUGUUAAAUAACUACUAGUUAGACAAGCUGUGUGGUGGUUCACGUUUAGUUCCUAAUUAGGCCAUGCCAGUAAUGAAUAAAGCAUAUUAGUGUUCUUCUCCUUUCUAUUGUUAUUAGUCUGGUAUAUCUCUAUAUUUUUAUAUCGUCUUUACUCCCUGGCGUAGUUGCAAACUAAUAAUUAACGAUGUGCAGAACUUGUCUAAGUUAGAUGUACUCAGUGGCGGAGCUACAACAAAUAAGUUGGGCGGGCCAAUUUUUUUCUCUAAACCAUACAGUUAAGUAGGCAUGAGUUAGUGAAAUUUCAGGUUGCCUGUAUAGGGAAACUGGUAACAGGAUGAUGUUGUCAAGUAAAAUUUGGACAAAUAAAUGAAAUUUCUUGUGCGCUAGCUGCCUGCUGGUUCUAUGGUCUUGUGCUCGUCGCCUGGGUAGUUCAUCAGUGGCUAGCCGCUGGCAGCCGCCAUAUGGCCAUGCCCGUCGUGGCAGAGGGAUGGGUCACCGUAGGGGUUGCUACAUGCGGCGCCCGUCUGCCUGGCUAUUGGACCGCUCCAUCUCUGAGUGGCCUGCUCAGUGCUGAAUCGGGGCAGAGAGCUCAUAGCUGGAUGCGAGGGAGACAUGUUAUUGGAUUAAGCUGUUACAUGUACAAAAGAGUUUUAUUUGUCUCUGGAGCUGGGUGGGCCAUGGCCUUCUUUUGCCCUCACGAAGCUCCGCCAGUGGAUGUACUCAUCUUUGUUGCUGUUAGGAUCAAAUAUCAAUGCUAGUUGAGUCAUACUACCUCCAUCUUGAAAUAUAAGUCAUUUUUAUAGGCUAAACUAGCCUACAAAAAUGUCUUAUAUUUUGAGACGGAGUUAGUACUUGUUAGUUCUGACCAUGCCUAGCUUAAGGACUCAUUGGUAUUCUUGAUAAGAAAAUCUUGCAUAUGUUCGUACAUGUUCCUAUCUGUAUUAAUAUUGGAUGUUUCUUGGUGUGUGCAUGUGACAGUCAAGGCACAUUUUCACAAUAUAUGUUGGUAUAUGGUGUUGUGAAACUUCUAUGAUUGAACAUACCACGGCAAGAUUUAGAAGUAACUUUCUUCCAUCUACAAAAGUUGAGAGGCAGAGGGAGAGGCACACAGUUUUACCACUGAAUAAGCUACUCCCUGAGCUAGAGGGAGGGGCACAAGAUUUACCACUGAAUAAGCUGUUCCAUUCUACAUGAUUGAGGCUCUAAAAUGAAAUAAUGAAAUAGUGUAACAAUCUGUAGCUUUAGAUAUUUAGAGGCACACAUAGAUAAUGAAAUAGUGUAACAAUCUGCAGGUUUGAAAAGUUUAGUGUUCUUAUUUGAUCUUGGUUUGCAGCAAAUAAUAAUAUUGGUGUUGUCAUUGCACUUUGGGCUCCAAUGAAAUUCUUGUAUGUGUCAAUUCUCUGUCAAAAGUUGUUUUAACAGUGUGCUAAGUUUUGUCGAUGCGUUGCCUAGGUCUAUCUCAUGGACACCCAGAUUUUGUAUGCAAUUUUCUCAACACCCAGAUUGGAGCCUAAGGUUGGACAUUUUGAUGGGACUGUGGAUCUUCGGAUGUUGGUGCUGAGAUUGAUGUGGCCCUAGCUACAUGUAAGCGAAGCUUAUGAUGUCGAUCCUCCAGGCUGCACUGCCAUCGUUUUACCUCAGAAACUGUUGGUCGUAAUUUUGCAUCACCACUUGUUAAUUUAUUUAUUAUCGUUCCUAUCAAAUGCUAAUUCUUGUCAACUAGUAAUUCUUCAGCUGUAUGUUGAUGAUCUCUUAUGGUUGCAAGUGAAAUGCAUCCUUGGGCAAAAUGUCCACAUUCUUAGAUAGGUCUAUUACUGUCUCCUUCAUAGCCUUCUGGUUUUAUUUUCACUAUAUAUCUUUUUUGGUCUAAGUUUCAACUGUCAAGUGUCAACAAUAUGUGGAUAUUGUUCUUUAGGGUAUAUCCAAUUUCGUAAUGCUCUAUAUAAUAGGGAAGGUUCUGGGGUUGGGUAACCUAUUUUUUGCAAAUUGGUGGUACCCAAAGGUGUUGUUCCGCCAAAUAUUGACAAGUCGAUUCAUGCCUACUUACAAGGAUGGAAAAAUAAUAUACUACUGGACACAACUGUAGAAGUAUGUAGUUUUUUGUUUUCACAGCGCAUAACUAUCCCUUCUUCUAUAUUAAUAACUUAUAAUCAAGGAUAUGACUGGACAUAUGAUAAUUGACUGAAUCUUUUGCACUGCAGUAUGUACUGUCCCCCUUUGACCAGUGUUUUUGUUUUUUCUUGUUCGGAUGAUAUGCACAACUUGACAUUUCAU